CGUGCCAGUAUUAGAAUAUGCAUCCGCGCCAGGACAUACAUUCAAACGACAGCAACAGAAUAAAAAACAAAAAAAAUAACGUAAAGUGC